UUUUAAGCCUGAUUGCAGCGGUAAGCCCGGAACGUAGUGAGGACUUAUAGCGGAAAGCAGGGCUACCG
rnacentral:sRNA from 1 species